rnacentral:lncRNA from 1 species
GUGUUUCCAUGGGAGGUGGAGCAGGGCGUAUUUGCAGAGAGAAGCAAAGCAGAGCUGAAGGCGUCUGGGGACAUCCUUACAAUUGGGCCGGAUGGGAGAGGCAGGCAGCCUAAUGAUCCAGAGAGAGCCGCUGCCUCCGGGAGCCCCGACUUUUGCAAAGAGAGUUGUGAUGUUUCCUCUCCCGAUGGUGAGGAUCCACGCGGGAGACUGACUUUGCUUUCUGGUGGGAGACGCCGGGAUGAAAGCCGCCCCUCUCUCCGAUGGCUCUUUGGGGGACAGCUCUUUUUAACAAGCCACUUCCUGCAGCGUGAGGCCUGGGUCCCCUUCCCUCGUUUAAGUGUCAUGCACGUCAGACAUCAAAGCUCUAAUUAAACUCAUUCUUUAAUUGUGUCUUUUUACUUCAUUACUUUCUCCUGUCCUUUGAUGAAGGCCGCACCCCUCUGAUCGGGGCCCCAAAUUAUCGCUUUCUCUUUAUUUUCCAGAGGAUCUGAAAAUGCCUGGCUGUGUUGUUGUUAUCGGCCCACCCCUCCCAUUUUUCCUAAAAGUUGGGGACUCCGGCUCCGUUCGGCCCCAC